UAAGUGAACACAACAGGGGUCCAGUUUACUAACACGUUACAUUGAACUGAGUGUUCACAAAGAUUUGACAUCUUUUUGGUUGGAAAGUUUCUUCUACAAGAUAGAUGGAAGCCCAGAGAAGAAAGUACAGUCCUAGACCUGGAGACGAUUGAAUUGAAGAUGCCUAGAUGAUGAUAUACCAGCCCCAGGAUAUUUACGUCAGGACAGGUAACAUAUGCAUCGGAAAGUAAGUAUAUUUUUUUUUAUUUAUUAAUAGUUGUCUAAUAGAUAUUAAAAUAAUUUGAAUAUGUAUUACAGAUAGACGGGAGCCAACAGAGAAGAAGAAGACAGUACAGUCCUAGACAUGGAGAUGAUUAAAUUGUAGAUGCCAAGAUGAUGAUAUACCAGCCCCCAGGAUAUUUACGUCAGGACAGGUAACAUAUGCAUCGGAAAGUAAGUAUAUUUUUUUUUAUUUAUUAAUAGUUGUCUAAUAGAUAUUAAAAUAAUUUGAAUAUGUAUUACAGAUAGACGGGAGCCAACAGAGAAGAAGAAGACAGUACAGUCCUAGACAUGGAGAUGAUUAAAUUGUAGAUGCCAAGAUGAUGAUAUACCAGCCCCAGGAUAUUUACGUCAGGACAGGUAACAUAUGCAUCGGAAAGUAAGUAUAUUUUUUUUUUUCUUAUUAAUAGUUGUCUAAUAGAUAUUAAAAUAAUUUGAAUAUGUAUUACAGAUAGACGGGAGCCAACAGAGAAGAAGAAGACAGUACAGUCCUAGACAUGGAGAUGAUUAAAUUGUAGAUGCCAAGAUGAUGAUAUACCAGCCCCAGGAUAUUUACGUCAGGACAGGUAACAUAUGCAUCGGAAAGUAAGUAUAUUUUUUUUUUUCUUAUUAAUAGUUGUCUAAUAGAUAUUAAAAUAAUUUGAAUAUGUAUUACAGAUAGACGGGAGCCAACAGAGAAGAAGAAGACAGUACAGUCCUAGACAUGGAGAUGAUUAAAUUGUAGAUGCCAAGAUGAUGAUAUACCAGCCCCAGGAUAUUUACGUCAGGACAGGUAACAUAUGCAUCGGAAAGUAAGUAUAUUUUUUUUUAUUUAUUAAUAGUUGUCUAAUAGAUAUUAAAAUAAUUUGAAUAUGUAUUACAGAUAGACGGGAGCCAACAGAGAAGAAGAAGACAGUACAGUCCUAGACAUGGAGAUGAUUAAAUUGUAGAUGCCAAGAUGAUGAUAUACCAGCCCCCGGAUAUUUACGUCAGGACAGGUAACAUAUGCAUCGGAAAGUAAGUAUAUUUUUUUUUUUCUUAUUAAUAGUUGUCUAAUAGAUAUUAAAAUAAUUUGAAUAUGUAUUACAGAUAGACGGGAGCCAACAGAGAAGAAGAAGACAGUACAGUCCUAGACAUGGAGAUGAUUAAAUUGUAGAUGCCAAGAUGAUGAUAUACCAGCCCCAGGAUAUUUACGUCAGGACAGGUAACAUAUGCAUCGGAAAGUAAGUAUAUUUUUUUUUUCUUAUUAAUAGUUGUCUAAUAGAUAUUAAAAUAAUUUGAAUAUGUAUUACAGAUAGACGGGAGCCAACAGAGAAGAAGAAGACAGUACAGUCCUAGACAUGGAGAUGAUUAAAUUGUAGAUGCCAAGAUGAUGAUAUACCAGCCCCAGGAUAUUUACGUCAGGACAGGUAACAUAUGCAUCGGAAAGUAAGUAUAUUUUUUUAUUUAUUAAUAGUUGUCUAAUAGAUAUUAAAAUAAUUUGAAUAUGUAUUACAGAUAGACGGGAGCCAACAGAGAAGAAGACAGUACAGUCCUAGACAUGGAGAUGAUUAAAUUGUAGAUGCCAAGAUGAUGAUAUACCAGCCCCAGGAUAUUUACGUCAGGACAGGUAACAUAUGCAUCGGAAAGUAAGUAUAUUUUUUUUUUUUAUUAAUAGUUGUCUAAUAGAUAUUAAAAUAAUUUGAAUAUGUAUUACAGAUAGACGGGAGCCAACAGAGAAGAAGACAGUACAGUCCUAGACAUGGAGAUGAUUAAAUUGUAGAUGCCAAGAUGAUGAUAUACCAGCCCCAGGAUAUUUACGUCAGGACAGGUAACAUAUGCAUCGGAAAGUAAGUAUAUUUUUUUAUUUAUUAAUAGUUGUCUAAUAGAUAUUAAAAUAAUUUGAAUAUGUAUUACAGAUAGACGGGAGCCAACAGAGAAGAAGAAGACAGUACAGUCCUAGACAUGGAGAUGAUUAAAUUGUAGAUGCCAAGAUGAUGAUAUACAAGCCCCAGGAUAUUUACGUCAGGACAGGUAACAUAUGCAUCGGAAAGUAAGUAUAUUUUUUUUUAUUUAUUAAUAGUUGUCUAAUAGAUAUUAAAAUAAUUUGAAUAUGUAUUACAGAUAGACGGGAGCCAACAGAGAAGAAGAAGACAGUACAGUCCUAGACAUGGAGAUGAUUAAAUUGUAGAUGCCAAGAUGAUGAUAUACCAGCCCCAGGAUAUUUACGUCAGGACAGGUAACAUAUGCAUCGGAAAGUAAGUAUAUUUUUUUAUUUAUUAAUAGUUGUCUAAUAGAUAUUAAAAUAAUUUGAAUAUGUAUUACAGAUAGACGGGAGCCAACAGAGAAGAAGAAGACAGUACAGUCCUAGACAUGGAGAUGAUUAAAUUGUAGAUGCCAAGAUGAUGAUAUACCAGCCCCCAGGAUAUUUACGUCAGGACAGGUAACAUAUGCAUCGGAAAGUAAGUAUAUUUUUUUUUAUUUAUUAAUAGUUGUCUAAUAGAUAUUAAAAUAAUUUGAAUAUGUAUUACAGAUAGACGGGAGCCAACAGAGAAGAAGAAGACAGUACAGUCCUAGACAUGGAGAUGAUUAAAUUGUAGAUGCCAAGAUGAUGAUAUACCAGCCCCAGGAUAUUUACGUCGGAACAGGUAAAGUAUGAAUCGGAAUGUAAGUAUAUUUUUUUUUUAUUUAUUAAUAGUUGUACUAUAGAUAUUAAAAUAAUUUGAAUAUGUAUUGCAGAUAGACGGCAGCCCAGAGAAAAGAAGAAAGUACAGUCCUAGACCUGGAGACGAUAAAAUUGAGGAUGCUCAGAUGAUGAUAUACCAGCCCCAGGAUAUCUACAUCGGAACAGGUAAAGUAUGAAUCGGAAAGUAAGUAUAUUUUUUUUUUUUUAUUUCUUAAUAGUUGUCCUAUAGAUAUUAAAAUAAUUUGAAUAUGUAUUCCAGAUAGACGGCAGCCCAGAGAGAAGAAGAAAAAGUACAGUCCUAGACCUGGAGACGAUUAAAUUGAAGAUGCCUUGGUGAUGAUGCCUGAGAAGUUUCAGUGGUACAGCUUGAAGAUGGUUCCAUUGUGCAUAGAAGAUGAAGAUGAGUUAGGUUAAACCUUGUUAGAGUGAAAAAAAAAAAUAAAGCAUCAGGGAUAACAGUUCCAAGCAAGAUGGUAACAUAGAUCUUCAUUACUAACUCAGAGGCUCUGCCAUGAAAAAAAUAAAGAAGCAAGGACAGCAGCUCCAAGGAAGAUUAUUACAUUGAUCAUCUUCCAAGUCUGAUGUGUGGCCAUUAAAGAAAUAAUGUUAUUUCUGAGCGGUACAUAUAUACAAUAACUAUCUGAUUUCCAUCUGCAUGCAGAGUGAAAAAAAAAAUAAAGCAGCAGAGAUAGCAGUUCCAAGAAAGAUGGUAACAUAGAUCUUCAUUGUUAACUCAGAGGCUCUGCCAUGAAAAAAAUAAAAAAGCAAGGACAGCAGCUCCAAGGAAGAUUAUUACAUUGAUCAUCUUCCAAGUCUGAUGAGUGGCCAUUAAAGAAAUAAUGUGAUUUCAGUGUUUUCAUGGAUGGGAGUAAGACUUGGUGCUAUAAUAUGUCUAAUAUUUAAGCUAGCAUUAAUUACUGCUUGUCAGUAUGGAUUGUUUAGAAUGGUCAUUGGAGCUGUCUUUUAAGACAAAAUAACAACACUGGUUGAUACAAUUCUAGGAACCGGUGAAGAAGUUAAAAGUUUUACAAUAUACUGAAGACUUGCAACAGAAAAUAUUUUACUGAACAGUAUGAGAGAGCCAAGAUGAUUGUUGGAUUUAGAAUGCUUGGAAAAUACAACCAAAUGAAGACAAACAAUGCACUGCAUCAACAAACAAAACAACUACUGGAAAGUUGGGGCAUCAGUACUGAGUUCUGAUACUAAAAACAAUUGUUAAGAAGACUGUACAUACAUGUAUAUAUAUAUAUAUAUAU